rnacentral:rRNA from 1 species
CGCCGCGUGAGUGAAGAAGGUUUUCGGAUCGUAAAGCUCUGUUGUUGGUGAAGAAGGACAGGGAAAGCAACUGGUCCCUGUUUGACGGUAAUCAACCAGAAAGUCACGGCUAACUACGUGCCAGCAGCCGCGGUAAUACGUAGGUGGCAAGCGUUGUCCGGAUUUAUUGGGCGUAAAGCGAACGCAGGCGGGAGAAUAAGUCAGCUGUGAAAGCCCUCAGCUUAACUGGGGAACUGCAGCUGAAACUAUUUUUCUUGAGUGCAGAAGAGGAGAGUGGAACUCCAUGUGUAGCG